GAAUGAGUCUCUGGGUAAACCCUCUAAGAGUAGUCCUUCAAAUUAUAUGUUAAGUAAAUGGCCUUUGCCCAAUGGGCCAUGUGUCUUCGUGGCAAGCCUCAUGAAGGAGGACUCGGGUAGUCUUGUGAGUAAGAAGGUUUAAGGGAAAAGACCAGGAGGGGUGGGGGCUAGUUAAGAAGCCCACCCUCCUAGCUAAACUGGUAGUGGAACAAGUUGGUGCCCAUGGAAGGGACGGUUCAGCAAGAAAAGCAGGAUCGGGCCCAGGCAGGCAGGCAACAGAGAGAGAAAUUGGAAAGCAGGUUGGAAAACUUUAAGGGUGUAGUGGAAGGAAGGAGUCAGUAAGUGUAAGCAUGGGGAUUUCAAAUACCCAGGACUUACUUGGCAUGGUGAUUUAAGUUGAUAAAAGUGGCUGUUGGGAGACAAGCAAGUGAUUUAAGGGAGAGUGAGAAGUUAACUCUGUAGUUGCUGGAGGAAACAGCAGUUGAACUUUGUAAAAAUGCUAAAGAAAAGGGCUCUUGGUGUCUGCGAAAUGUUUGUAAAUAAAUUUAGGCAAAGAAAUUAUUGGAUUGCUAUCAUUUGGUUUGGCUAUAAACAAUUUAGUUAAAUUAGCUGAAGAAUGUAUACAGUGUUAUGUAAUUAAAAACCUAGGCUGCUUAUGAAACAAAUAUAAGAAAAUAUGGGGUAAUUCCUCUGUUCUUGCCUGAAGUCAACAAGGGUAUUUCUAUAUUUCAAGCGAUGAUUGUCUGCCCAGAAGGGGUGGGUAGACCUCUGUUUUUUUGUCUUUCAGAUAAUCAGAGAAAACUGAUGCCAGCUGAACAGCAUUCAACGUAUCAUGCAUUUACUGGCACAACAGGAAUUAUGUUUUGUGUUCUAUGUCCUGUCUUGUGGUGUUUGUCUCGUGGCCAAAAUUGUUGUGUUUAAUAUUUUUAUAGGAUAGUCUAGUUAAAAUUAAAUAGAAGGGUUAAAUGCAGAUACUUGUUUUAUUCAACUUUGGAAUACAAGGUGUUUGGAUAAAUCAGGAGAAUGUGAUACACUAAAGUCUAAUGCAUUUGCUUAAGUAAGAAAAAGAAGCUUCAUUGGCCAAAUUGUUAAUUAAAGAAAUCGUUGUUAUAAUUUGCAUGCCAACGGUCUUUGAAAGCAAAGACAUGAAAAGUUAACCCACUCCCCAUAUUGUACAUGGGAUCUUUCUGGCUACCUCAAAUUUCUAGCCAGAGGGCUGGGGAUGGUGGAAGGCUAUUGGACUAGAGGUUAAAUUGAAUGAACUCCUCAAAGUGGGUGUGCUUGUUCUAGCUCGUUGCUCCAAAGUUCUGUAAUAAGGUUAUUUUAGUAAAAAAGUAUGUGUGGCAUAUAUUAAAUAAUAAAACUAAUGUACUGUAUAAUGGCAAUGUUUACGUGUUCGUUGUUGGGAAAAGGUGUAUAAGUAAAGAGUGAAAGUUUCCUUUGCAGGUUAAAGGAAGCCAAAAAGGGAGAAGAAAAAAAGAACAGAA